ensembl:lncRNA
AGCAUAUAUAAGUAUAGAUAUAGCUAUCUAGAUGGAGAAUUGAUUGCAUUGCUGCCAUUUUGAAGAGGUGUUUGGAGCAGUGUUUGGAGCAGUGUUUGGAGCAUGGCGAGGUGUUUUGGAGCAGCAUUCAGUGGACCCCAUUCAACACCAAACAACAAGGCAUUGCUUCUCAUAAGUGAAGACGCAGCAGGCUUGAAGAAGCACGCCGCUGGAAUUCUGCACAGGAUGAACGCUGGCAGUACAGACCUACGUGUGAUGUAGAUCAGUGUAACUGCUUUACGCUGGACGUUCCGGACGGUGACUCAGACGUCCUCGCUGCGUACACGCCCGACUGCACCGUGACGCUGCCAUGAUGGAGAUCAUCGAUUUAUUUCACUCUUCCUGCCUGCUGGAUCGAGUGUAUAAGUGAAAGUCAACCUCAUUCUGCUGGACAUAGGAGCGCUCAGUGACAACACACGAAAAAAAAAACACACACACACUAACACAAACUAAUACACACUAACACACACACACACACUAAUACAAACCGCUUGGCCUCCAUUACGACAGGAUCCUUAGAGAUGAUUACAGCCUCUAAAACUCAG